GACGAACGCUGGCGGCGUGCUUCAUACAUGCAAGUCGAACGAGAAUCUGACUUCGGUCAGAGGAAAGUGGCGGACGGGUGAGUAAAAUGUAGAGAAUCUGCCUAUGAGUGGGGGGACAACAUUGGGAAACCGAUGCUAAUACCGCAUAUGAGUAUAUUUGAGAUAAUAUACUUGAAAACUAGAGGUGCUCAUAGAUGAGUCUGCAUCUGAUUAGCUAGUUGGGGGUGUAAUGGACCACCAAGGCGACGAUCAGUAGCCGGCCUGAGAGGGUGAACGGCCACAUUGGGACUGAGACACGGCCCAG
rnacentral:rRNA from 1 species